UACCCUACGGGACCAGCAGUGAGGAAUAUUGGUCAAUGGACGCAAGUCUGAACCAGCCAUGCCGCGUGCAGGAUGACGGCUCUAUGAGUUGUAAACUGCUUUUGUACGAGGGUAAACCCCGAUACGUGUAUCGGGUUGAAAGUAUCGUACGAAUAAGGAUCGGCUAACUCCGUGCCAGCAGCCGCGGUAAUACGGAGGAUCCGAGCGUUAUCCGGAUUUAUUGGGUUUAAAGGGUGCGUAGGCGGUUUGAUAAGUUAGAGGUGAAAUGUCGGAGCUCAACCCCGAAACUGCCUCUAAUACUGUUU
rnacentral:rRNA from 1 species